rnacentral:rRNA from 1 species
GUGCCAGCAGCCGCGGUAAGACAGAGGCCUCGAGCGUUAGGCGGAAUCACUGGGCUUAAAGCGUGUGUAGGCGGGCCCGUAAGUGUCUUGUGAAAUCCCCCGGCUCAACCGGGGAACGGCUGGGCAUACUGCGGGUCUUGGGCCGACUAGGGGCAGCCGGAACAAGCGGUGGAGCGGUGAAAUGCGUAGAUAUCGCUUGGAACGCCGAAGGUGAAAACAGGCUGCUGGGGUCGCGCCGACGCUGAGACACGAAAGCCAGGGGAGCAAACGGGAUUAGAAACCCGUGUAGUCC